rnacentral:lncRNA from 1 species
GAGCAUAAACUCAGAGGACGCAGCUACUUCUCUCCAUGAAUAGGCUGUCUCCCAGGCACAGAAUUCCAGGAACCAGCAGGGCCUUUCAAGGUUGGUUUCAAGGGAAGAGUGUGUCCCUUGCAGGGUGGCUGGAGCCAGCUCCAAGAGCCUGAAAAAUCAUCUUGGCACCAAGUCUGAUGCAACUCUGGACCCAACAGGAAUCUUGGAGGAU